rnacentral:rRNA from 1 species
AGCGAACGCUGGCGGCGUGCCUAACACAUGCAAGUCGAGCGCGGGCAUUUCGGGGGUAACCCCGGGACUGUGCUGAGCGGCGGACGAGUGAGUAAUACGUGGACAACCUGCCUUAAAGCUUGGGAUAACUCCGGGAAACUGGAGCUAAUACCGGAUAAGACCACGGUGUCUAUGGAUGCUGAGGUAAAAGGCGGCCAGGAAACUGGCUGUUGCUUAAAGAUGGGUCCACGUCCCACAGGUAGUUGGUGAGGUAAAGGCUCACCAAGCCAAAGACGGGUAGCUGGCCUUAGCGGGUGGUCAGCCACACGGGGACUGAGGACACGGCCCCGACUCUACGGGAGGCAGCAGUGGGGAAUAUUGGGCAAU